AAAAAGCCAAAACCUGAGUUUUCGUGUACAACUUUGACUAUCCGUCUCAUAUAAAUUUUUUUUAUAAUUUGUAUUUUUAUUGUUGUUAGAUGAUAAAACAUGAUUAAUAUUUUAUAUGUGACUUGUCUUUUUAAAUUUUUUAUAAUUUUUUCAAAUAAAACGGACGGUCGAACAUUGGCACAGAAAUCAGGAUUUAUU
rfam:Oryza rufipogon genomic scaffold, chr09